UACGGAGGGUGCAAGCGUUAUCCGGAUUUACUGGGCUUAAAGGGUGCGUAGGUGGGCAGGUAAGUCAGUGGUGAAAUCUCCGGGCUUAACCCGGAAACUGCCAUUGAUACUAUCAGUCUUGAAUACCGUGGAGGUAAGCGGAAUAUGUCAUGUAGCGGUGAAAUGCUUAGAUAUGACAUAGAACACCAAUUGCGAAGGCAGCUUACUGGCCGAAUAUUGACACUGAGGCACGAAAGCGUGGGGAUCAAACAGG
rnacentral:rRNA from 1 species